UUAUAGCAAAUAGAACUCUGCAAGUCACAAAUCAUCUCCUAAAACAUUCUACAUCAAGUUUUAAUAACAGAUCCAAGUGUACCACGACAGAAACAAAUACAUACACCACAAUGCGAGUACUACAGUCCUGGAAACUAGACACUAAACUACCAGAGAAUCGAAGUUUACGAUUACAAUAAUCAAAUUGAAUCUAAAAGUCAGUAAACAUGUAACAGAAAAUGUCCUAAGGUUGAUGCAGAUGAUGCAUCAGCAGCUAAUAGGCGCAGGUGAUUGAUGCUGCUGGGGAUGAACCAACCCUGGUUGAUUAAUAUUGUUAUUUUCCAUAGCUAACUCAGUUCCUUCCGUUUUUUUCUCCUCCUCUUUCGGCCCAUCUUCACCAUCAUUGCUGUGGGCAUCCUUAGAUACCCCGUCAACAGCAUGUUCUGCUUGGCCGGCACUCCCUCCUACGGUGACAUUGGUCCCUUCUGCAGCGAGUUCUUCUAGUUUGUUUUGAGACUCCAGCUUUUCUUCAGAUACUUGUUUUUCCUCGAUACCUGCAUUUUCUGACUUGUGUCUACCAACAUCAGCACUGUGAACUUCCUCAGAUUCAGGCUCUCGCUCGUCCCCAGAGGGCAGUUCAGCACCUUUUAAGCACUUAUCUUUUUCCACAGCUUCCACCUCUUUCUUCUUCUUGUCCUCCAUUUCAGCUUCUGCAUUUUCCGACUUGUCCUGAUUGCCGUCAUCAGCACUGUGAAAUUCCUCCGAUUCAGAAUCUGGCUUCUCCGCAGGGGGCAGUUUAGCAUCCUCUAUGCGCUCAUCUUCUACCACAGCUUCCGCCUCUUUCUUCCCCUUGUCCUGCAUUUCAGCUUCUGCUUCUCCAGCUUUCUUCUCCAAGUUUUCAUUUUCUUCUUUGGAAGAUUCCAUCCCUUUAGUUUCUGCACUUCCCAUCUCAGCUUUUGCAGCAGCCUUUUCCUUGCUAUCUUUCUUUGUACCAGAGGAUGUCCGGCGUUUUUUCUUUGGUGAUUCAAGUAGUGAAGGUGGUCUCAUUGCCUUGACCUUCUCACUGAUCCUUGCUGAUCUCCUUGGAGUCUCACCGGUACUCCAAUCAAAUUCUGAUAUACCAGGGCUUCCAGGAUGUGCUUUGAGAUACUGCUCCAACUGUUUGCGGUUUUUGACCUCCUCUCCUGUUGGAGCGAUGAAUACUACCUCACUCUUCUUCGGUGUACCCCCUUGCUUUGGGGUGAACAAUUUUUUCCAAGAAGGAGGUGCAGGAAGCUCCACCGACACAAUUUCAUCAUCAUGACUCCCCUUCUCCAUAGGACUUGCCAUGGUUAGAAAAAAAAAAUUCCAACUUUGUUUACAGUAAAAUAAAAUUCACAAAGAUAGAAAUUGAAGUAAAG
rnacentral:misc_RNA from 1 species